UACGUAGGCAACGAGCGUUGUUCGGAGUUACUGGGCGUAAAGGGUGUGUAGGCGGUUGCUUAAGUUUGGUGUGAAAUCUCCCGGCUCAACUGGGAGGGUGCGCCGAAUACUGAGUGACUCGAGUGCGGGAGAGGAGAGUGGAAUUCCUGGUGUAGCGGUGAAAUGCGUAGAUAUCAGGAGGAACACCGGUGGUUGUAGACGGCUCUCUGGACCGUAACUGACGCUGAGACAGAAAGCGUGGGUAGCAAACAGGG
rnacentral:rRNA from 1 species